rnacentral:rRNA from 1 species
GACGAACGCUGGCGGCGUGCUUAACACAUGCAAGUCGAACGGAAAGGCCCUGCUUUUGUUGGGUGCUCGAGUGGCGAACGGGUGAGUAACACGUGAGUAACCUGCCCUUGACUUUGGGAUAACUUCAGGAAACUGCGGCUAAUACCGGAUAUGAUCUCCUGCUGCAUGUUGUGGGUUGGAAAGUUUCGGCGGUUGUGGAUGGACUCGCUGCUUAUCAGCUUGUUUGGGGGGUAGUUGCUUACCAAGGCUUUGACGGCUAGCCGGCCUGAGAGGGUGACCGGCCACAAGGGGACUGAGAUACGGACCAGAAUCCUAAGGGAGGCAGCAGUGGGGAAUAUUGCACAAUGGGCGGAAGCCUGAUGCAGAAACGCCGCGUGCGGGAUGACGGCCUUCGGGUGGUAAACCGAUUUCGAAUGUGACGAAGAGUGAGUGACGGUAAUGGGUAAAGAAGCACCGGCUAACUACGUG